GACGAACCGUACGAACGUUAUUCGGAAUCACUGGGCUUAAAGGGUGCGUAGGCUGCGCGGAAAGUUGGGUGUGAAAUCCCUCGGCUCAACCGAGGAACUGCGCCCAAAACUGCCGUGCUCGAGGGAGACAGAGGUGAGCGGAACUUAGGGUGGAGCGGUGAAAUGCGUUGAUAUCCUAAGGAACACCCGUGGCGAAAACGGCUCACUGGGUCUCUUCUGACGCUGAGGCACGAAAGCUAGGGUAGCGAACGGG
rnacentral:rRNA from 1 species